CAUUAAUGAGUUUUGAUGGGGUUUUGAUGCUGGCAGCCGUCUUUCAGGCUGCAUGUGCUCGCUCUUGACAAAAUCAUCUUCCAAACACCUGUGCACAAUUUUGAGGGGGAGGAUUGUGGGCUUGAUUGCCUUUUGCAUAUUCUUCCCCUCGGAUUUUCAUAUAUUUAUACGCUUGUUAAAAUACUGAACGUGUUUUGCGCCAUAAGGCAUUAAUAAAUUACAACUUUUAACAACGGAUCUCUUGGCUCUCGCGUCGAUGAAGAACGCAGCGAAAUGCGAUAAGUAAUGUGAAUUGCAGAAUUCAGUGAAUCAUCGAAUCUUUGAACGCACCUUGCGCUCCCUGGUAUUCCGGAGAGCACGCCUGUUCGAGUGUCGCGAAAUUUCUCAAGCUUAGAUGGCUUCCUUGCCUGUCUUUGUCUUGGUUAUUGGGCUUUGCCGUGUUCCUUUAUUGGUACGGCUGGCCUUAAAAGUAUUAGCUGACCUUCAUGUAGCACUGGUUCUACUCAGCGUGAUAAUAAUCUGAUCGCCGAGGACAUCUCUUUUUUUUGGGAUGGCCAGUUUUCGUUUGGGUUGCCUUCUAGUCUGGUGGUACAAAUUGCGUGCUCCACUUUUCGGCUUUGACCUCGAAUCAGGUGGGACUACCCGCUGAACUUAAGCAUAUCAAUAAGCGGAGGAAAAGAAACUAACAAGGAUUCCCCUAGCAACGGCGAGUGAAGCGGGAAGAGCUCAAAUUUAAAAUCUGGCAAUCUUUGGUUGUCCGAAUUGUAAUCUAGAGAAGCG
rnacentral:rRNA from 1 species